rnacentral:rRNA from 1 species
GGGCCCGCACAAGCGGUGGAGCAUGUGGUUUAAUUCGAUGAUACGCGAGGAACCUUACCUGGGCUUAAAUGCAGGACGACCGGCUCGGAAACGAGCCUUUCUUCGGACGGCCUGCAAGGUGCUGCAUGGUUGUCGUCAGCUCGUGCCGUGAGGUGUCGGGUUAAGUCCCAUAACGAGCGCAACCCCUAUUCUUAGUUGCCAGCGGUUCGGCCGGGGACUCUAAGGAAACUGCCCGCGCAAGCGGUGAGGAAGGUGGGGAUGACGUCAAAUCAUCACGGCCCUUACGUCCAGGGCUACACACGUGCUACAAUGGUAUUGACAAAGGGCAGCUACAUCGCGAGAUGAUGCUAAUCCCUAAACAAUAUCUCAGUUCGGAUCGGAGUCUGCAACUCGACUCCGUG